UUUGAAGUCAACUGGAACAUCAUGCAUGGGUGAGCUCCAGGGAGCACACAAAAGAAAGAAAAAAAAAAAGCUGACAUGUUAUUCUUAACCAAAGGGACUGCGCUAUUUCUGAGGUUCUAUACACAUGGGCAUCCCACAGACCUCAGGAGCCUGCAGAUGAGAUCCUAUCCACUUCUUGCUAUUAAGAUUGCUGCUUCUGAGCCUAGAAGUGAACAAGAAAAGGAAAUACCAGCUGAGAAGAUCCUCAAAUGCCAUCACACAAGGACGCCUGUAUUUUAAUGGCUCUCUCUUCAAAGUGCGUGCUCAGAUCUCAAAAUAUUAGACUCUCAAAAUUCAAUGGAGACCCUCAAAUCACAGGGUGCAAAACUCCAAUAAAAAAAUGGCAGAAACCAGGA
rnacentral:lncRNA from 1 species